rnacentral:misc_RNA from 1 species
AAACAUUUGAAAAUUCUGAACAGUUUCACCUGCCAUUGGAUGCUUUGUUUCAAUUUCAGGUGCGUUAGAAGGUUUGCAGAGUAGCUAGAGAAUCUCGUAUCUUCACUUUCUGCUACUUGGUAUCAGCUUCGUCACUUUAUAUCAACACAUUCUUAAUAUACAAUACUACUUUUUCAUCCAUUAAUCCCCUUACAAUGUCGAGUAAACGAAGCAUCUGUCCC